AAUACGUUCCCGGGCCUUGUACACACCGCCCGUCAAGCCAUGGAAGCCGGAAGUGCCUGAAGUGCGUAACCGCAAGGAGCGUCCUAGGGUAAAGUCGGUAACUGGGGCU
rnacentral:rRNA from 1 species